AUGCUGAGCCGAGACUGGGGACAUGGGCUGGGGCCUCCCAGGGCUGCGGUGGUCACCAUGGUGCUCUGGUGUCCACAAUGGAACUGGGAUGAGUCGGCAUGGGGACGGUCAGCGGGGCUCUGUGAUGCAGUGCGCUGCAGGCCAUCGACCAUGGCUAUUCUUCUCGUCCGCCUCCUGUCAGUGAUGGGCCUCCUGCAGCUCACACUCAAGGUUGGGGACCAGCCUGACAAGGCCACCCAAGAGCUUAUAGAGAAAAGAGAAGUGAUGCUGCAGGAGGAGAUGCAGGUGCUGCUGCAGGAGAUCGAGAAGGGAACCGAACCCCAGACCAGAAACAGCACGGUGUUCCUGUUCCUCGCCAUGUGCCACCACUGGCAGUUCUGGGCACUUUCGGAAGCUUUUCUGGCUCUUUUUGGCAUGUACUGGCUGCCCAAGAACAUCAAAGAUGACACCGAUGGUGAUUCUGAGCCAUGGAGCUCAAGCAGUGAGGAUGGCGAUGGAGGAGAAGAGGAACAAGAAGUUGAGGAGGAGUUGAGGGAGGAAGAGGAGGAACAGGAAGAAAUAAACUUGAAUGACCAACAUGAUCCAGAACUGCUCGUGAGCCUGCUCAGGAAGUCUCUGCUGCCAAAGCUGCUUAUGAUGCAGAGCAUUAUGGAAGAGGUGGCAGGGGAGAACUCUGCAUCAGCGAACGCCAUUCAGAGAACCAUUUUCAUGAGAGAGCUGCAGGCAGAGGUGGGGUUGUUUGUGACAAUGUUUGAGAACAACCUGCCUGUUUCAUCCCUCACUUGCUCCAGUGCCAAAGUUCAUGGUUCUCCUCGUAUCUUCAAGCUUCCACCGAAGAAUACAUUUGAAGAUUAGAUGCAUAGAUUAAUAGGAAUAGUCAAAGUAGUUAAGACAAAAUAGUUAAGGUUGUUAGUAAGGAGAUGUUUUCCGCAUAGAUUAGUCACGUCAAUAGAAAUAGAUUUGUAGUUAAUGUUCUAGGACCAUUAGUUUAAGCAAAAUGACAAUAAAUCAGACUGUUUGAACA
rnacentral:lncRNA from 1 species